rnacentral:rRNA from 1 species
UAGGGAAUCUUCCGCAAUGGACGCAAGUCUGACGGAGCAACGCCGCGUGAGUGAAGAAGGAUUUCGGUUCGUAAAACUCUGUUGUUAGAGAAGAACAGCGCAUAGAGUAACUGUUAUGCGUGUGACGGUAUCUAACCAGAAAGCCACGGCUAACUACGUGCCAGCAGCCGCGGUAAUACGUAGGUGGCAAGCGUUGUCCGGAUUUAUUGGGCGUAAAGCGAGCGCAGGCGGUCAAUUAAGUCUGAUGUGAAAGCCCCCGGCUCAACCGGGGAGGGUCAUUGGAAACUGGUUGACUUGAGUGCAGAAGAGGAGAGUGGAAUUCCAUGUGUAGCGGUGAAAUGCGUAGAUAUAUGGAGGAACACCAGUGGGAAAGGCGACUCUCUGGUCUGUAACUGACGCUGAGGCUCGAAAGCGUGGGUAGCAAACAGG